UACGUAGGGUGCGAGCGUUGUCCGGAAUUAUUGGGCGUAAAGGGCUCGUAGGCGGUUUGUCGCGUCGGGAGUGAAAUCCCCGGGCUUAACCUGGGAAUGGCAUUUGGGACUGCAAGGCUUGAGUGCGGCAGAGGAGACUGGAAUUCCUGGUGUAGCAGUGAAAUGCGUAGAUAUCAGGAGGAACACCGAUGGCGAAGGCAGGUCUCUGGGCUGACACUGACGCUCAUGCACGAAAGCGUGGGGAGCAAACAGG
rnacentral:rRNA from 1 species